AUACAAUGGAGAGUUUGAUCCUGGCUCAGGAUGAACGCUAGCGGGAGGCCUAACACAUGCAAGCCGAGCGGUAUUGUUUCUUCGGAAAUGAGAGAGCGGCGUACGGGUGCGGAACACGUGUGCAACCUGCCUUUAUCUGGGGGAUAGCCUUUCGAAAGGAAGAUUAAUACCCCAUAAUAUAUUGAUUGGCAUCAAUUAAUAUUGAAAACUCCGGUGGAUAGAGAUGGGCACGCGCAAGAUUAGAUAGUUGGUGAGGUAACGGCUCACCAAGUCCAUGAUCUUUAGGGGGCCUGAGAGGGUGAUCCCCCACACUGGUACUGAGACACGGACCAGACUCCUACGGGAGGCAGCAGUGAGGAAUAUUGGACA
rnacentral:rRNA from 1 species